GAUGAACGCUGGCGGCGUGCCUAAUACAUGCAAGUCGAGCGAACAGAUAAGGAGCUUGCUCCUUUGAAGUUAGCGGCGGACGGGUGAGUAACACGUGGGUAACCUACCUAUAAGACUGGGAUAACUUCGGGAAACCGGAGCUAAUACCGGAUAACAUUUAGAACCGCAUGGUUCUAAAGUGAAAGAUGGUUUUGCUAUCACUUAUAGAUGGACCCGCGCCGUAUUAGCUAGUUGGUAAGGUAACGGCUUACCAAGGCGACGAUACGUAGCCGACCUGAGAGGGUGAUCGGCCACACUGGAACUGAGACACGGUCCAGACUCCUACGGGAGGCAGCAGUAGGGAAUCUUCCGCAAUGGGCGAAAGCCUGACGGAGCAACGCCGCGUGAGUGAUGAAGGGUUUCGGCUCGUAAAACUCUGUUAUUAGGGAAGAACAAAUGUGUAAGUAACUGUGCACAUCUUGACGGUACCUAAUCGGAAAGCCACGGCUAACUACGUGCCAGCAGCCGCGGUAAUACGUAGGUGGCAAGCGUUAUCCGGAAUUAUUGGGCGUAAAGCGCGCGUAGGCGGUUUCUUAAGUCUGAUGUGAAAGCCCACGGCUCAACCGUGGAGGGUCAUUGGAAACUGGGAAACUUGAGUGCAGAAGAGGAUAGUGGAAUUCCAUGUGUAGCGGUGAAAUGCGCAGAGAUAUGGAGGAAUACCAGUGGCGAAGGCGACUUUCUGGUCUGUAACUGACGCUGAUGUGCGAAAGCGUGGGGAUCAAACAGGAUUAGAUACCCUGGUAGUCCACGCCGUAAACGAUGAGUGCUAAGUGUUAGGGGGUUUCCGCCCCUUAUUGCUGCAGCUAACGCAUUAAGCACUCCGCCUGGGGAGUACGACCGCAAGGUUGAAAACUCAAAGGAAUUGACGGGGACCCGCACAAGCGGUGGAGCAUGUGGUUUAAUUCGAAGCAACGCGAAGAACCUUACCAAAUCUUGACAUCCUUUGAAAACUCUAGAGAUAGAGCCUUCCCCUUCGGGGGACAAAGUGACAGGUGGUGCAUGGUUGUCGUCAGCUCGUGUCGUGAGAUGUUGGGUUAAGUCCCGCAACGAGCGCAACCCUUAAGCUUAGUUGCCAUCAUUAAGUUGGGCACUCUAGGUUGACUGCCGGUGACAAACCGGAGGAAGGUGGGGAUGACGUCAAAUCAUCAUGCCCCUUAUGAUUUGGGCUACACACGUGCUACAAUGGACAAUACAAAGGGCAGCUAAACCGCGAGGUCAUGCAAAUCCCAUAAAGUUGUUCUCAGUUCGGAUUGUAGUCUGCAACUCGACUACAUGAAGCUGGAAUCGCUAGUAAUCGUAGAUCAGCAUGCUACGGUGAAUACGUUCCCGGGUCU
rnacentral:rRNA from 1 species